GCACCCAUAGCUCAACUGGAUAGAGCAUCACCCUCCGACGGUGACGGUUUGGGGUUCAAGUCCCUAUGGGUGCGCCA
rnacentral:tRNA from 1 species